UGAGGAAUAUUGGUCAAUGGUCGCAAGACUGAACCAGCCAAGUAGCGUGAGGGAAGAAUGCCCUAUGGGUUGUAAACCUCUUUUAUCUGGGGAUAAAGUGAGCCACGCGUGGCUUAUUGCCGGUACCAGAAGAAUAAGGACCGGCUAAUUCCGUGCCAGCAGCCGCGGUAAUACGGAAGGUCCAGGCGUUAUCCGGAUUUAUUGGGUUUAAAGGGUGCGUAGGCGGCUUGGUAAGCGGGCAGUGAAAUGCAGAGGCUCAACCUCUGACUUGCUGUUCGAACUGCUGGGCUUGAGUACGGACGAGGGAGGCGGAAUGUGUGGUGUAGCGGUGAAAUGCUUAGAUAUCACAAAGAACCCCGAUUGCGAAGGCAGCUUACCGGAGCGCAACUGACGCUGAAGCUCGAAAGCGCGGGUAGCGAACA
rnacentral:rRNA from 1 species